UACCAGUACUACUAAUUAUUUCAGAACCAUUCAUUUAAUUUGCAUAUCGCAUUUUUGCUGUAACUAGGAACGAAAUACAGUGUAACCUCCCCAUCUACUAGGAUUUGCUUGGUUGACGUUGGAAUCUGUGCAGAAAGCAGAGCAGGAAAAGGCGCCACUGCCCAUAACACAGUCAAAGAGGCAUCAUCAGAAUCUCGGAUGCAGAGGCAUCAAGUCAGGACUACCUUGGCAGCUCCAUGCCAACAAUUUUUUUUUCUUUCUUUCUGGGUCUUAACGCGUGGGCCAUGAAUCAGCAAGAGCAGUGCGGCUUGUGCCACAGAAAAUGAUUGGAUGGAUUUCCUACAGCAAGAGUGGGUUUUAAUUUAGACAGCUGAGAAAAUUGAAUUCAAUUGGAAGCACUGUUUCAUAGCAUCGUCCAAGGUGGGUUCAGCUUCAGCUGCACGGCAGACGGCAGUGCAACAAAGUAAGCAUGAUUAGGUUUGUGACAGGUUGUGGAGAGCAACUUUUUGUGGACUUUGAUUCCCAGCACUAACAUACUUGGUAAGGUAUGCUUUUUAUUUUUGGGUGAAUGUUAGAUCUUGAUUCCUCCUACCAUUAGCCUAGCCUUAUCGAAUAUUCAAGGGAGGACAAAACCCGAGGGCCCUACAAUUCUUUUUCCCCAUCAUCUCUUUGAGUCCAAAGCCUCUGACAUGCAUAACAACACAAGCAUACAUACAUACCUUUUGUAGUCUAUAAAAAAGAAAUCCCAAACUAUUGAAAGGUGCUGGCAGAGCCAGAGUGUAUUCUUUUUCUUAGUUUCUUCUUCGUCGUCUUCUUUUUUUGUUUUUUUGAGGAUAAAUUUCCGGGGGAAAUGAAGAACAAAGUUGAGAGGCAUCAGCAAGGGUUAUAGUAUUGCAACAAAGUGUCUGCAAAUUUACAUUCGUCCAAUCAUUUGCUUUUGAAUACAAUUUCAUCAUCAUCCACAUCAAAUGCUGGGUUACAGAGGCAUCUGAAGAGUCUCCCAAUACCCUGCCAGAUAAGUGAUCACCCAUAAAUAUCAAAAUGGGUAUCAAAAGUGUCAAUUAAAUGGAUCUGUAAAAUUCCUAUUAAGAAAGAUUAUUACCUAAAAUUUUACACCAAUGAUAAUCAUCCAUAAAUAUAAUUCAGCAUGCAUGUGUCAAACUUAAAAAAAGAAUAAGCUUUCAUAUUCAUUUUAUAUAAUAUUUUCUUGUGAAGAGUUUGGAACAUGCCUGGGUGAGAAAAGGAGUUCGGUAUGAAAGCGCUCUGGGCGACUCCUCUUCACUGCUGCUGUCGGAACUGCUUCCAUCAUCAUCAUCAUCAUAAGCAUCUAUUUCAGCCACAUUUUUCCUCCUUGAUGUUCCACCAUUUUGAGCUCGUUGUUCCUGAUGAAAUAACAUUCCAAUGCAUAAAUCUCCUUUGACUUGUUCCAAAUGAUAGAUCAUGACUGACUACUUUCAUGUUGUGCAUUCUUGGCACAUAUGUUAGGCUUCCAACCAUCGUCCCAAGCUACUAAUCUGUUAUAUAAACAAAUGAAACGUUUCUCCUGCCAGGAAGAGAACCCAAAAAAAGGAAAGAAAACAGGCAUAUGACAAUUGAAACCCCAUAAACAUCUAGGCUUUGCCUCCCUUUCCACUUUCUUCUUCUUCUUCUUCUUCAGUUUGAGCUCAACCAAAUUAGUCAGUACAGUAAAUGUUUAAUAUCUAGACAUUUAGCUUCGAUAAGCAUACAAAUAAAAUAAUGGAAUAUCAAAUUAGAGUCAUGUUAGAUAAAAAUUCAGACUUGGUCUCUUUAGCCAAUUUAAUGAAUUUUGCACCUGGAAUAUCUUCCCAAGAACUUUCAGAGCCAGAGCUCUAGCUUUGAGUUCCUCCUUCUUGACAUUAUUUUCCCGCAACACCUGUAAACCGAUUUUUAGAAAUAUAAGAGAACCCAUAAUUUAUAAUAAUAAGACAGGCAACUUCAACAAAAGCCUUAACCAAAUUCCCAGCCUCUAAACGAACUAGAGAUAGAAAAGACACCUGCUCUAUGAUAUGAAUGACUAUCCUACGAAACAGGAAUCACUUGAGAAACUCACCAUUUGGCACACAUGAACGAGGGUUACUUCAAUAUCCACCACAUUCAAUUUCCAUAAUGAGCUCACCAAAGUUUCUUUGUUUAACCGUACGUGUGAUUCGACAUCAUUUUCAGGUCCACUACCAUCCUUUUUAAAUUGCUGGCGCAUAUCUUCUUGAAGUUGCAGUAGCUGAAAAGCAC
rnacentral:lncRNA from 1 species